rnacentral:misc_RNA from 1 species
GACGUCAAGGCUUUGAAUGAGAUUAAGGCGUCGCUCGGAUGGAGAGUUGUUUACGCUUGGGUCGGCGACGAUCCUUGCGGUGAUGGCGAUCUGCCCCCAUGGUCCGGUGUCACUUGCUCCACUCAAGGAGAUUAUAGAGUUGUCACUGAAUUGGAAGUUUAUGCCGUGUCAAUUGUUGGGCCGUUUCCUACUGCUGUUACCAAUCUGUUGGAUCUCACGAGGCUGGAUCUGCAUAACAACAAACUUACAGGGCCUAUUCCUCC